AACAGUCAACGUCCGAGUGCCUACCCAUUGCAAAGUAUUCUCUUACCGCGUUUUACUUAUCGCAUGCCACGUCGUCAAAGAUAAAAAUGGAAUUCGGAAGUGCCUCGCUCGGUGGAACGACGUCGCUGUUAUUCGAAUAUGUAAAAUAACCAAUUUCGUCUAUCGACGAGAAUAUAUUUUCUAGAUAUAGAUAUUUCGGUUGUUGCAAUGAUUUCGAGUACACGUAUACGUUUUCGAAGCGAACACCGUGCGGACUUUCUAACAAACUAAUCAGCACGUUCGUUUUGCCGCAAUUCGAUGGACCGCAGAUGAUACCACUAUAGAGGUGAUUGGCAUACGAACCGCAUCGUAGCUAUGGGAAAAAUGAAAGAAAAGGUAUGUAUCGAUGUUGGAGGGUAUUUAUACUAGCGUGACCUAGACGUAUCAGUCAGUGCAGAAAUGGCUUUCAUACUGAUCGAUGGUGAUACACUGUUCGACUUGACUGUGGAGCAAUUGGAAUACGUGCCAAAGAUAGUACUCUUGAAUCGCUUCGCUAACGACAUUCAUUACGUGUGGGAUAAACUGCCGAGACAUAUAAGAGCUGAUCCUGAAGUCCAGUCUUAUCGUAGGUGUCUCUUGCAUUACAAUCGUCCAAAUCAACGUACGCACAUAGACGGACCAACGCCUAUGAAAAAAGAUUGUUACCUAUGCGUAGAAGGACAUGAGCAGGACUUGUAAAUACUCUAAUAAACAAAUUACCGUUUGAGCUACACGUACCAGGGUAUCAAUUUUGCGGACCGGGUACAUGGCUGGACAAACGUUUAGCACGCGGCGAUAGGUAUAAAUCCGUUGGAUAAACCCUGUAGAGAACACGAUACUGCGUACUGUCGAAACAAAGAUUCGACCAAUCACAAGGCAGAUCGAAUUUUAGCUGAUCGAGCACGCCAGCGCAUAACUGCGAAGGACGCUACAUUCGGCGAAAGGGCGACUGCUACAGCUGUUUGGACUGCGGUGAAAGCUAAGAAGAAGCUUGGAAUGGGGCUCAAGAAGAAAAAGAGUCAUAGUACGAAGAAGGGGAAGCGAGCUCUACCGAUAGCAAAGCGUAGCGGUAUCCUCCCGUUCCUCCUACCUACGUUAUCAGCUAUAGGAGCCUUAACCGGCGGUGCUGCUGGCGUGGCUAAGGCCGUGAAUGAUGCCAAGUCUGCGAGAAAACAGCUGAAGGAAAUGUAACGCCAUAAUCGUGCUAUGGAAGGUCGUGGACUAUAUCUCGCGCCGUACAAACGCGGACGAGGAGUUUCAAAGAGAAAAAAAAAACGUCAAAAUUAAAAUCCCUGAAGGGGUAACCAUCAACGUACAACUACAGCAACUGGCAAAGCAUAUGUGUAUUCCAUAUUUCAGGGGUAUUUUUAUGCGCAAUACUUUACCAACAGAUGGGAUACACAGGAACGAGAGCGGAAUCGUAAAUUUGGAUACUUUCGAGGGAUCUGGUACUCAUUGGGUGGCGUACGCAAAACGGGGAACUCGCACCAUAUAUUUCGAUAAUUUUGGCAAUCUUCAACCGCCGAGAGAACUUUAAAUAAGUGGUCGGAGCUCCUUAAUUCAAAAAUAACGUCAAAUUCUUAUGUUUGCGAAGAACAUUUUAAUAUAUGCGAUGUAAAAAGUACAGAAAUUGUACGUGAUGCUGUUGGUAAUGUCAUAUCCUAGAUAGCACCGGACGUCCCAUGGACGUCCAUUUUAUGUCCAGUUUACGUCCAAACGUCCGACGUCCGUUGUCAGACGUCCGGCUGGAACGUCCUGUGAACGUCCAUGGGACCUAAAUUCUGUAUGUAAACAUUUAAAACAAAAUAAAUAUUAUUUAUUAAUAUUCUUUAUAAUAUAAUAUUUAUUCAAUAUGUAGAACAGAAUAUUUUUUUCCGAAUAUAAAAUACACUAUUUACAAUUGUAAAUUAAUAUUAAUUAAUUAAUUAAUUAUUAUUUAUUAUUAUUAAUUAUUAAUUAUUAAUAAUUUAUUAAUUAAUUAUUAAUUAUUAAUUAUUAAUUAUUGAAAGAAAAAUUUUUUUCUCAUUUCUUUAAUUAAUUAAUAUUAUUAUCUCAGAUAGCACGCCAUCCCAUGGACGUACAAAGAACGUACAGAAAACGUUCUGGAAAAGUCUAGCAUCGGACGUCCCAUGGACGUACAGAGAACGUACAGAAAACGUUCUGGGAAUGUCCAGCACCGGACGUCCCAUGGACGUACAGAGAACGUACAGAAAACGUUCUGGGAAUGUCCAGCACCGGACGUUCCGUGGACGUACAUAAGACGUUCCUGUUCCUGUGCUAUCUGGAGAACGUUCUGGGAAUGUCCACAUCGGACGUCCCAGGGACGUACAUAGAAUGUCCACGCCGGACGUCCCAGGGACGUCCUGUGAUGUACCUGGGUCGUUCCAGGGACGUUCACAGGACGUUCACAGGACGUUCAG